UCCGGUUGAUCCUGCCAGAGGCCGCUGCUAUCCGGCUGGGACUAAGCCAUGCUAGUCUAGGGGCUUGUACUCCUUCGGGGGUGCAAGCACCGGCGGACGGCUCAGUAACACGUGGACAACCUGCCCUCGGGUGGGGGAUAACCCCGGGAAACUGGGGCUAAUCCCCCAUAGGUGAUGGGUGCUGGAAUGCCCCAUCUCCGAAAGCGCUUAGCGCCCGAGGAUGGGUCUGCGGCGGAUUAGGUAGUUGGUGGGGUAACGGCCCACCAAGCCUAAGAUCCGUACGGGCUGUGGGAGCAGGAGCCCGGAGAUGGACCCUGAGACAAGGGUCCAGGCCCUACGGGGCGCAGCAGGCGCGAAACCUCCGCAAUGCGGGAAACCGCGACGGGGUUAGCCGGAGUGCCCGUGCAUUGCACGGGCUGUCGGGGUGCCUAAACAGCACCCCAUAGCAAGGGCCGGGCAAGGCCGGUGGCAGCCGCCGCGGUAAGACCGGCGGCCCGAGUGGCGGCCACUCUUAUUGGGCCUAAAGCGUCCGUAGCCGGCCCAGUAAGUCCCCCGGGAAAUCUGGUCGCUUAACGAUCAGACUUCCGGGGGAUACUGCUGG
rnacentral:rRNA from 1 species